rnacentral:lncRNA from 1 species
GGCCGCAGCUGCUAAAUAUGGAAGUUCCCAGGCUAAGGGUCGAAUGGGAGCUGCCACUGCAGGCAGGCCUGGGCCACAGCCACGGCAACGCCGGAUCCGAGCCAUAUCUGCGAUCUAUGCCGCAGCUUGCAGCAACGCUGGCUCCAGGGAUAGAACCCGCAUCCUCACAGACCCUAUGUUGCCCGCUGAGCCAGAACGGGAACUCCGUGUUUUACUUUUCUUAAACACACCAUCUUAAGAAUACUGAAAGUGGUCACGGGACCUGAUAAAUCCAUAUCGGAAUGCCUAACAAUAUUUAACUGAAUUCUUAGACAAGCAUGUGGCUUCAGGAAAGGGACCGGCUUUUUCCAGGCAGGAAACGUCCUGCCAGGGAUAGACUCACUGGCUGUAGGUUCCCAGACACAGUGGGUUCCCAACACCCCUGCUGAAAAAUAGCCUCUGGGAUACCCUGGGCGGCCAGAAAGGGACACACUGGCCACAUCCUCAGCCUGGCCCCCGACCGACUGCAUCUUGGACAGAGCGAAGCUCCCAGGGGAGCGAGGAGGCCUGGCAGGUGCAGUGUCCUGGAUGGGCCUCAGCGGAUAAUUAUCCGCUUCUUCCUUCACGUGUCUCACGUGGGGCGAUGCAAACGCCCUCCCUCCGGAGAGGUCAGGAACAAAACCUCGAGGUCCAGUCGGCACUUCAGUUGGCACUACAGGGAGGUGACGGUGAAUGUGUCCUCAGGGUGAGGUUCCGCCAUGGGCCCCAGGAAGCCGCUCUUGGGGCCCCCACCCAGGCCGGGAUGCGCCUGCGGCAUAAAGCCUGGAUACCUGUAGGCGGUAUCCUGCAGGGGCAGCAGCGAGUCCCUCGGCACGGGGGACAGGGUCAAGUCACUAAGGAGUGGGCAGCCAUAGCCAGCAGCGGCUGCAGCGGGGCCACGGGGCGGGCCGGGGGGCCGGGCCAUCUCCAGUGGCUCCUUGUCGGCCUUAGGUGUGGCCGGUGGGCUAGCCAGGUGUGGGGCGCUGAGGCACGCAGCCUCCGUCCUGCCCAGGAAGUCAGCCAGCAGCCCCGAACCCACCUUGCCUUCAUAGGGGGGGCUGCGGGCAGCUGAGCCUGGUGGGUACCAAUAUGCCGUACCCUUGCAGCUGGGGGAGUCGUAGUGGGGCUGGCCCAGCGGCAGGUCCCGGCAGCUCAGGUGGGCCUGGGCUGCAGCCGCGUGGCCCAGGCUGGCCCCCUGGAGCCCAUGCUUGAGGGGCUCACAAGCAGCCAGCUUUGUGGGCGGCGGCCGCAGCUCUUCCUUGAAGCCCAGGGUGGGUGAGCAGGUGGGCGAAUACGCCUUCUGCAGGCCAGCAUCGAACACCGUGGGCGGGUGGGCCAGUGGCGGGAAAUGCUUGCCAUCCAGCUCAGGGGCACCCAGGCUGGGCGAGUCGCAGUGGAAGCCUUGGCCGAAGGUGCCGUCAGAUGGCGUGGAUGGGUUCAUGGAGUAGGGUCCCAUGAAGUCACAGGGGUCUCGUUCGCCCACACUGAAGGCCCUCGACUGCGAGGGCAGUGGUGACAUGCUGCUGUCGCCGCUGUAGUAGUCCAGGCCGAGGUCUGGGCUGUCCUGGAACAGCGGGUUGACCGGCUGUGGCUUGGGGAUGAACUUGGCCUUGGCCGCCGCACCGCCCCGCUCCUUCUUGGCAGAGCAGGCCCCACCACCCCGUCCGCCCCGAGGCUGCCGGGGCCCGGUGCUCCG